rnacentral:lncRNA from 1 species
UCGGAUUUUCGAGAAUCAAAUGUCUUAGUUGUUACUCGGUGUGCCGGUCUUGAAGCUCCUCUUAGAAACCGAGAGGGGGGAGACUGCAAAGCAGAGAAGUAUCACGGUGCCCCAUGAGGCUUAAGCAGUACAGUAAUCAAUGCCCCGCGACAGUAUCGUCUUGGUCUCUUUUAAAGACUCUUCUCGUCGAUAGGCUCAAAAUCGGCAGGUCUAUAUAUGAAAGCAUUACAGCCCUUGACCAAAAACAUGUAGAAAUGUUCUCUCAAUCUACCAAAACUUACUAAACACCUUACUCUGCCAUCAGAACACAUAUAGAAAGAUAAAUAGUCAGUCUACUGCCAAACUUCAAAACAACAAAACCAGAAUAAACAACACUCUAUAUAGUUAUUAUCCAGCUAUUAAAAAAAGUUCAUUUUUUGUCCUUCUAUUUUAUAAAACUAGCAAGUUUAUCCCUCUCUUGUACGCUUCCUC